rfam:Toxocara canis scaffold1468, whole genome shotgun sequence.
GUGGCAGUAGUUCAGUGGUAGAGCUCUCGCUUCGUACGCGGGAAGACCUGGCUUCGAUUCCUUGCUGCUUUA